rnacentral:rRNA from 2 species
GGAUGACCUGUGGCUGGGGGUGAAAGGCCAAUCAAACCGGGAGAUAGCUGGUUCUCCCCGAAAGCUAUUUAGGUAGCGCCUCGUGAACUCAUCUUCGGGGGUAGAGCACUGUUUCGGCUAGGGGGCCAUCCCGGCUUACCAACCCGAUGCAAACUACGAAUACCGAAGAAUGUUAUCACGGGAGACACACGGCGGGUGCUAACGUCCGUCGUGAAGAGGGAAACAACCCAGACCGCCAGCUAAGGUCCCAAAGUCAUGGUUAAGUGGGAAACGAUGUGGGAAGGCACAGACAGCCAGGAUGUUGGCUUAGAAGCAGCCAUCAUUUAAAGAAAGCGUAAUAGCUCACUGGUCGAGUCGGCCUGCGCGGAAGAUGUAACGGGGCUAAACCAUGCACCGAAGCUGCGGCAGCGACGCUUAUGCGUUGUUGGGUAGGGGAGCGUUCUGUAAGCCGUUGAAGGUGGCCUGUGAGGGUUGCUGGAGGUAUCAGAAGUGCGAAUGCUGACAUAAGUAACGAUAAAGCGGGUGAAAAGCCCGCUCGCCGGAAGACCAAGGGUUCCUGUCCAACGUUAAUCGGGGCAGGGUGAGUCGACCCCUAAGGCGAGGCCGAAAGGCGUAGUCGAUGGGAAACAGGUUAAUAUUCCUGUACUUGGUGUUACUGCGAAGGGGGGACGGAGAAGGCUAUGUUAGCCGGGCGACGGUUGUCCCGGUUUAAGCAUGUAGGCGGAGGUUCCAGGUAAAUCCGGUACCUUUUAACGCUGAGGUGUGAUGACGAGGCACUACGGUGCUGAAGUAACAAAUGCCCUGCUUCCAGGAAAAGCCUCUAAGCAUCAGGUAACACGAAAUCGUACCCCAAACCGACACAGGUGGUCAGGUAGAGAAUACCAAGGCGCUUGAGAGAACUCGGGUGAAGGAACUAGGCAAAAUGGUGCCGUAACUUCGGGAGAAGGCACGCUGAUAUGUAGGUGAAGCCCCUGCGGGUGGAGCUGAAAUCAGUCGAAGAUACCAGCUGGCUGCAACUGUUUAUUAAAAACACAGCACUGUGCAAACACGAAAGUGGACGUAUACGGUGUGACGCCUGCCCGGUGCCGGAAGGUUAAUUGAUGGGGUUAGCGGCAACGCGAAGCUCUUGAUCGAAGCCCCGGUAAACGGCGGCCGUAACUAUAACGGUCCUAAGGUAGCGAAAUUCCUUGUCGGGUAAGUUCCGACCUGCACGAAUGGCGUAAUGAUGGCCAGGCUGUCUCCACCCGAGACUCAGUGAAAUUGAACUCGCUGUGAAGAUGCAGUGUACCCGCGGCAAGACGGAAAGACCCCGUGAACCUUUACUAUAGCUUGACACUGAACACUGGUCCUUGAUGUGUAGGAUAGGUGGGAGGCUUUGAAGCGUGGACGCCAGUCUGCGUGGAGCCGACCUUGAAAUACCACCCUUUAAUGGCUGGUGUUCUAACGUAGACCCGUAAUCCGGGUUGCGGACAGUGUCUGGUGGGUAGUUUGACUGGGGCGGUCUCCUCCCAAAGAGUAACGGAGGAGCACGAAGGUUAGCUAAUCCUGGUCGGACAUCAGGAGGUUAGUGCAAUGGCAUAAGCUAGCUUGACUGCGAGAGUGACGGCUCGAGCAGGUGCGAAAGCAGGUCAUAGUGAUCCGGUGGUUCUGAAUGGAAGGGCCAUCGCUCAACGGAUAAAAGGUACUCCGGGGAUAACAGGCUGAUACCGCCCAAGAGUUCAUAUCGACGGCGGUGUUUGGCACCUCGAUGUCGGCUCAUCACAUCCUGGGGCUGAAGUAGGUCCCAAGGGUAUGGCUGUUCGCCAUUUAAAGUGGUACGCGAGCUGGGUUUAGAACGUCGUGAGACAGUUCGGUCCCUAUCUGCCGUGGGCGCUGGAGAAUUGAGGGGGGCUGCUCCUAGUACGAGAGGACCGGAGUGGACGCAUCACUGGUGUUCGGGUUGUCAUGCCAAUGGCACUGCCCGGUAGCUAAAUGCGGAAGAGAUAAGUGCUGAAAGCAUCUAAGCACGAAACUUGCCCCGAGAUGAGUUCUCCCUGAGACUAUAAGUCUCCUGAAGGAACGUUGAAGACGACGACGUUGAUAGGUCGGGUGUGUAAGCGCAGCGAUGCGUUGAGCUAACCGAUACUAAUGAACCGUGAGGCUUAACCUU